rnacentral:rRNA from 1 species
UACGAAGGGGGCUAGCGUUGCUCGGAAUCACUGGGCGUAAAGCGCACGUAGGCGGCUUUUAAGUCAGGGGUGAAAUCCUGGAGCUCAACUCCAGAACUGCCUUUGAUACUGAAGAUCUUGAGUUCGGGAGAGGUGAGUGGAACUGCGAGUGUAGAGGUGAAAUUCGUAGAUAUUCGCAAGAACACCAGUGGCGAAGGCGGCUCACUGGCCCGAUACUGACGCUGAGGCACGAAAGCGUGGGGAGCAAACAGG